GAGUCUUUCCCUCCAAGCUCCACAUCAGCCCAGGUUUGCUUGAAACUCUGACAACCUGGCAUGAGACUUUGAAGUGCAAAACCUGCUCUCUUUUCGUCACAAUCCCUGUAAUGAAUUGAGGUAUACAAAGCUGGUCAUACAAUACGUAUCAGCAGCGCGCGGAGAAAGACUCUUAGGGAAGAGUUUCCAUAGAAACACUGACGUCCUGCCCUGCUAACAGGACAUCGAGUUCCUUGAACGGGAGCUGCUUUACUUUCAUUCUCUUGGCUGUUGACAUAAUCAUUUCAGAAGACCUCCAGUCAUCAUAGAGUCUUUCCUGCGAGACCGGAUGUCUCUGAUGGAGGAUCCAGAAGUGUGGACUGAAAGCUCACUGUUUUAAAUUAAGAGCCAAGGGUGUUAAAACUUUAACAGAAAAGCUUCUUUCUCUUCUGUUUUUCAGGACUUUGUGCUAAACAGAUGUUUAAAAACGAACAAAAAUGAAGAGUUUAAAAUGUCUGAAUGAAAAUCACUUUCUCUUUCAGUUAUUCAAGUUUCACAACCUUAAUAUCUUUGAUAAACUUACUAGUUUUCCAGGAAAAGAGGGUUUCCAUCAAAAUACAGGGUAGAUAAGACCUGAAUUCAUAAUGUUGAAAAACUGACUAACAACCCCUGGUUCCCUUUAAAGGUGAUCUGAAAGGAAGAAGAGACAAGAAAUAGGGGUUGUGCCCUUUUUUGCUCACUGAAUAACAGUUAGACAGUCACAACUCCAUAAUUUGGCCUAUAAUCAGGUACCAUGGAACUAACUGACCAUAAAUUGUCAUUCUUCCAUUUAAAAGGUGCACUAUAGAAGAAAAAACAUCCUGAGUUUUAAUAAAAUUUUCCUUAGAUGCUGGCCAAUCUAGUGGAUAAAACGUUUAAAUCGCAAGCCUUCUAGAGGUGGUUUUUUU